GUGAAAAAAGGUUAAGUGCAGCCAGAUACUUAAGUGAGACAGAGUCGCCCAUGAGAGCAAUGCAAACAGUUCAUUGCAAAGAAAUCUGAUCCAAGGCCAUUCACAGCACAGACCCAGAGACAAGCAAGUGCCCCCUCCCCUCACACUCCAUGGGAUCUGGCAAGGACAGUGCUGGCUCAGAGUUCAUAAAUUCUUCAGCAGAAAAUACUUAGAUACUUAAUCAAGGGCUUCUCUGUUACUCCAGAACAAGUUUACAUUAUUAGAGGGGGAGGAAAAAAAAAAAAAAAAAAAAAAAAGCCCUCAACCAAACAAAAAGGGUCCUAAAUAAAGAGAUAAAGUAGUAUGACAGGACAGCAAUAAUAGCUUUCAGGUGUAUGUUCUGCAUAAGAUUUCCAGGCAGUUGGUUUAGUUAAUGGAUUCCCUUAAUCUUUCAGCUGUCAGCGUGCAAUCUAUAGUCUACUGUUUCUUCCACACCGUAUUUAUGCGGACAAAUUCAAACUUGUAUAAACAGACAGGAGUAUCUAUUGUUGUGCAAGAGCAGAACACAAUGGGAGCUUGUCACCGAUCCAUCACAGCUGUCGGGGAGCCGUGGCUGCGGAGCUGGGAGCUCAGCCGGAUGCAGGAGGAGAGCACCAGAGAGAGCAUGGCAUGGCUCCAUAGGUGGCCCCAGCACUGCAGGGCAGAGAAGGUGACAUGGGACAGAGCUAUGCCACGUCUGCUGCGUGCUCAGAGCCAGAGCGUGCGCUGGAGAACCGGGCGCACUGUGCAGGGAGUCUCUGGGCUGCUGCUCUUACCCUGCCCUUACAGCCGUGCCCCGGGGCGUGCUACAUUGAUGUAGUAAAGCUACGACAUUGUUUCCAAAGAUCGGUGUUGUUGCAAAAACAAUUCACACCAUCGGAGGUUGUAACAACGAUGCAAAAGGUGUGACAAGGUUUUGGAAACUUGCAACAUUGCGUCCUCUUUGCAACAUUGCAUCCUCUUUGCAUCAUUGUGUCCUCUUUGAAACACUGUCUUCUUUCCCCAUAGGAAUGGAAGGGAGAAGGGGGGGUUGUGCCUGAGGACUCAGGGGUGCAAUGCAGACCCAG
rnacentral:lncRNA from 1 species